UGUGCAUGUGCAGACACACAUUUGCCACACAAACCUGCAGUGAAUAGACAAUAUCUGAUAACAUGCAGAAGGAUUGCACAUGGUAUCGGAAUCAGAAAGAUCUUUAUUGCCAGGAGUAGAUGGAAGAGGGGGAAGGUGAUGGACAGAGUUGAACAUCCUGACAGCAUAAUGGAUGAAGCUGUUUGAGAGUCUUGUGGAGCGAGCAUGGAGCCUCCAGUAACUUCACCCUGAAGGCUUACUUACUUACAUUGAUUGAUUGAUUGAUUGAUCCUGGAGGACAUUCAAGCAUCCACUAGCAAACAUACAGAGAAAUAAGAUUCCAAAACAAACACAGUAACAUAGUAAAAAAAAAGUAACCCUAGUAACCAUAGUAGCACUAAGUUACAGGACGUUUUGACUACUGUAUAUAAGGCAAAUGGCAUGCCAAAAGGGACAAAAGAGACAGAAAAAUGGAACGUGACUAGAGACAUAAUAUAGAUAAACAUAACUUACUUUUGUUUGUCUAAAUUAUGUGAUGACAUAUGCUUCUGGGUCAAAACUGAAGCAUGAAUUUACUUUGAAAAUGUGUUUCCUUUUCUUAGUGUUUGAUUCAUUGUAGAAGGAAGCUGUUGUAGCACCGAUAACCAUCUACACCAAUGACCAUCUACAAUGUACUGUAAAACUUAGAAAAGGAAUAUUUCAGAAGUAAGAAUUCACUGUAAGUAUCCACAAGCCAUGUCACUGUCACUGAGAUCACAUUUUCCCCAUUCUGAUAUUGGAGUUGAACAUUAACUGAAGCUAUAGACCUGUAUCUACAAGAUGUUAGACAUUUUGCCCCGCCACAUGAUUGGCUGACUGCAUGAAUGUUCCUAAUAAAGUGACCAUUGAGUGUAUUUGUUUAUUUUAA